GCAGCCUCGAGACACAGCUAAGGCCACCAGGACCAUAUGAGGUGCAGUGGGUGGCCGGCCUAAUGGCUCAGCUACACAAAGCUCCCCACCCCAACUCAUGAUCUCAUGAUGACCUUCGCCUGACGCUCUUCUGCUCAGAGGGCUGAUUUCCUAGAGAACCUAAUCUUCCACUGAUGAGCAGCGUCAGUGCCUGCAUGUUGGCUGGUCUCGGGAGCCCUGCAUGCAACCUGUGCUGUGUGGCGCCCACCCAGUGGUCUGGGACACACCGUGCCAAGGCGUGCCCUAAUGGCUCAGAACCUCAGGAUCCCUGCAGCCACUGCCCUGUGAGGCCACCUCAUGGAUUUGGAACGGGCUUGGAGCAGCCCCCCGCCUUGGUCAGGGUGUCCCAGUAGGUGACUGGUGACCCUUGCACUCAGGUCUGGGUGUCCAGAGCCACAAGGUGGCUCCUGUCCAACGCUGAGUCCAGGACUCGCCUGGAGGAGUGGUGGCAACACACCCCAGUCAGCAGAGCCUUCUGUAAUCUGUGUGCUUUGCAGAGUCAGCCUCUGAUGUGAAGCACCCUCAAGCACAGAAGCUUCUCCCUGGCUCCAAGGACCCUGACCUGGUGAAGGCCACCAAGGGGACCCAACACCUCCUGUGACAACACUGAAGGCCUGGCCUGCUCUCAGGGCUGAAGGGUGAGAGGUGAUGGCAUGGGGAUCCCGCUCUAUGAAAUGGGGCUGAGGGCUCCCUGUCGGGCUCCAGUCGGCUCGGGGAGACGCGGCGCAGGAAUGGAGUAAAGGGACCGAAGGCAAUGCUUACCAGCUACUGGGGGCGGGAGACACAGGGGCUGGGGAGCACUGCUGGUUGGCAACAGUCCCUGCAUAUUGUCACGGUGCACCCAUGGGGAGAGGACAGCUGGAAGCUCUGCAUCUGGAACCCUCCUGCUCCCUGCCCCACGGGCCUCCCCCUCAGCUGACGUUAGCUCAGGCCCUUCAGCCAGGGUUGUUGAGUCCUAGGCAAUUACUGAAACUCAGAGUGGUCCUGGGGACCCCAGACUUGGAGCCAGCGUUAGAAAUGCACGUGGCUGGCUGGCUGGCUCAGUCGGCAAAGCGUGUGACUCCUGGUAGCAGGGCUGUGGGUUUGAGCCCCACAGUGGGUGUAGCGAAUGCUUAAAAUAAAAAAAAAGUGAGAAGGGUCUUGUAAACUGUUCUGGUAACAUUGUAACUUUGCAGGAACACACAGGGUGCACGCACACACAGAUUUCCUCCCUCUGGCAGCAGGAGGGACCAGGGCUCCCUGCAGACACACGGACUCUAGGCCGGGCAGGAAGCUACCAAGGUGAGCCUGGAGCCCCUGGAGAGCCGGAACGGAAGGACGUGCUCAAAAACAAAACCCAGCACCCGUCUCAGUGGGCACAUCAGAGGGACACGGCGUCCGCCUGGAGAAGCUCCCGGGGGCCAGAGCGGGGUCAGCCCCGGCCAGAGGGAAGGCGUGCUGGAUCACAGCCCACGGUAGUGAAUAAAUAUCCACGCGUCCCUACGGACGUCCACGCGGGACUGAGUCCCGCCCGAUGCAGAAACAGUACUGACCCUCCUCCUCCCGAGGAGGAUCCCACCAUGUGGGCACAGCGGCUCCGUCCCCGGGGAGCGGCACCCACCUCCCCACUCCCCAGGUGUGGGCUGUGCACGGUGACGCCCUUCCCCAGGGGACAGCGUGGGCAGAGGAGGGAGCACCGUGGAGUGGGGACGCCUGGCAGACACACCUCCGCCAGGUGACCACGGCCAACAUCAGCGACAGGUCGUGUGGACGGCAUGCACCUGGGCCGGCUCCCCAGUGCCAAAACACACUUGAGGAGGGACAGUGAGCAGGAGACCAGCUGGGGACCUUCGCGUACCCGGGGAGCGGGAGGGACCUCCAGCCCAGCCCAGCCCGGCCCAGCCGCCCGGCUCCUCGAGGACACCCACAUUCCUGCUCGGGCUGCGGGCCGGGUGCUUACACAGCACUUCCCCGCUCUGGGAGCCCCGAGCACAUUUUUCAGAUGAGAAAACUGAAAGCUGGGGAAAGACACUUGACCAGGGUCACAUGUUUUAUCAAGCACCGAGGGGAAUUUGUAUCUCAGGCUCUGCUCAACCACCAAUCUGCACUGUGACGGCCACUCCUGGACUCCUGGUCCAGACCAACGGUUCUGGGUGCUUCCAUCCCGGGAGCUGGCCCGGGGUCUUCUGGCUCCGGGGCCGAGUAGCCCUGAGCAGGUCGCCUGACACCCCCACCCCCCAGCCUGCGACAAGAGACGGGAGGGACAGCAGAAGGACUGGCUCUUCUCCAGCACGCAUGUCCAGGGAGGCAGGAAGCGCCACAGGAAUGCGUGCUUCUGGGUGGGGGGGCCACAGCUAGCAGGCACGGUGCAGGCUGCGCCCCUGGGAGUGAAGCAGCGGCGCGAGGGAGUGAAGCCCAGCAGCAGUGCUGGACGCCCCCCCCGCAAGCCCCCCCACCUCCACCCCCGGCUAAGCUGCUCCGAGGCCCCCACCGGAGAAGGCCAACAGGCGCCCCUCACCAACAUGCCGGCCAGGCCCCAGGGCUCCAGCCCCAGGACGCCGUCACCACACCGCCUGCCCACAGAAGCAUCGACACGCAGGUCUCUUCUUGAAAAGCUGAGACAGAAGAGCUGCUGUGGGAUGACCAGACCUGAGCCUGAGCCCCGUUACCCUGCUGAACAGCCAGCCAUACAUAGGAUCACACUUAAAAAGGCCGUGAAAAGCCACCUUCCUGACGAACAGCCAGGCGGAGUUGCCGCCCAGAGACCACCAGCCACCAGCCCGCACAGGCCAGGUAUGGGGCCGCUGCCCCGUGAGCUGCUGCUGUUGUAGAACUAGGUCCGACAGCCUCUAAGGGCACGUCGGCCACAGCAUCCAGAAAGGCAGUGACCACAGGGCACUGGGCAGGCCCGGACGGGAACCCCAGCUCAGAGGACAGACUGUGGACAGCACGCCGCCCGGUACCAACGGAUCAGGUCCACACAGAGCCCCAGGGAGCAUACGUGAAAGGCAAGUGGUGAGGGGUGACCCCAACAGGCAUCUUCAAGAGACCAGUUUGUAGACACACCUGCCAGGGAGAAGCACCAAGGAAGGCCUCCCCGAGGUAAGAGCCAGCUCAGCAAGCCUGCGGUGCUAGGGCAGUGCCACCCCCCCGAAGGCCCCCAGCUGCCCAGGGCAAGCUCUGAAGAGCCUACCCUGCCUGGUCCAAAGUCAGGGACACACAUGCUGCCCCCAACCACGGGCCCUAAGAGAGUCCUGGGGCACCCAGGGAGUAGGGCUGCUCACCUCGCCCCGAAGAGCUGAGCUCAAGAGAACAUGGAUGGCUCAGCUCGUCAGCCCCUCAAGCACGGAGCAAGCCCGCAAUGCUCCCGAUUAUUAGGACUCACAAGACGACCAUUCAGUACUUUCUCUCCUGCAGGAAGAGACCCAACAAUUCACUGAGCAUCUCAUCAAGCCAGGUGGCCUCUUCCCCGUGAGCCAAGUAUCCUGGGAAGGCUGCAAAGGCCAGGGUGGGCACUCUGAGACCGCAGCCCCUUCAGCGGCUGACAGACCAGCCCAGGGGCCAAGGGCAGCCAAGCACAGGCCCGUGGUUCCUGGGAAGACACAUGCACACAGCUACACAAAUGUUCACAAAUCCCAGCUGGAAGCGCUUUAAGUGUGUAACACAUGCUCCCUACUGGAGCAUAACUGAGGCACGCAAGGACAGCUGCACACGGGGACAUCUGCCAGGAGGUCCACUGCGGGUCCGUUUAAACAGGAAGGCCACCAUCGCCGCAGAAGUGCCAAAGGAGGGACGCCCGGGUGGCUCAGCUGUUGAGCAUCUGCCUUCGGCCCAGGGCAUGACCCCAGGGUCCUGGGAUCGAUUUCCACAUCGGGCUCCCCAGAGGGAGCCCGCUUCUCCCUCCCCGUGUCUCCGCCUCUCUCUGUGUCUCUCAUGAAUAAAUGAAUAAAGUGUUUAAUAUUUAAAAAAAAAAAAAGUGUCAAAGAACAUGAGAGAACUCAUUAUCCACUCACCAUGAAAAUUACAGAAAAAACCACAAACGGAAGCAAAUUCCUUAAUGUGACAAGAGGUUAUGUGCCAGAAAUAACACUCUCUAGCGAAACAUCAGAAACCCCCCCACCAACCCUUCGUGACCGGCUCCACACCCAGGGCGGGUGGGGGUGCGGGGCUGGCGACCAUGAGAACCCACAGGACGGGGCUUGGCCGCUGCACACAACCAACCUGCAAAGCUGACACAGCCUCAAACUUCAACAGGACUUUCAACUGAACCUGUGAAGCUAAUUCUGAUCUUACCCUAAAGAAAAAAAAAAAAAGACCUAGGGACGCCUGGGGGGCUCAGCAGUAGAGCGUCUGCCUCU